rnacentral:rRNA from 1 species
GUUAGAUACCGUCAGGGGUGAACAGUUACUCUCACCCAUGUUCUUCUCUAACAACAGAGCUUUACGACCCGAAGGCCUUCUUCGCUCACGCGGCGUUGCUCGGUCAGACUUUCGUCCAUUGCCGAAGAUUCCCUACUGCUGCCUCCCGUAGGAGUAGGGAAAUCU